GAUGAACGCUGGCGGCGUGCCUAAUACAUGCAAGUCGAGCGAGCGGCGGACGGGUGAGUACUGUCUGGGAAACUGCCUGCUGGAGGGGGAUAACUACUGGAAACGUUAGCUAAUACCGCAUACCAUCAGAUGUGCCCAGAUGGGCUUAGCUAGUCGGGGGGGUAACGGCUCACCUAGGCGACGAUCCCUAGCUGGUCUUAGAGGAUGACCAGCCACACUGGAACUGAGACACGGUCCAGACUCCGACGGGAGGAAGCAGUGGGGAAUAUUGCACGAUGGGCGCAAGCCUGAUGCAGCCAUGCCGCGUGUAUGAAGAAGGCCGUCGGGUUGUAAAGUACUUUCAGCGGGGAGGCGUUACCCGCAGAAGAAGCACCGGCUAACUCCGUGCCAGCAGCCGCGGUAAUAC
rnacentral:rRNA from 1 species